UACGAAGGGUGCAAGCGUUACUCGGAAUUACUGGGCGUAAAGCGUGCGUAGGUGGUUUGUUAAGUCUGCUGUGAAAGCUCCGGGCUCAACCUGGGAAUGGCAGUGGAUACUGGCAAGCUAGAGUGCGGUAGAGGGGUGUGGAAUUCCCGGUGUAGCGGUGAAAUGCGUAGAGAUCGGGAGGAACACCAGUGGCGAAGGCGGCACCCUGGACCAGCACUGACACUGAGGCACGAAAGCGUGGGGAGCAAACAGG
rnacentral:rRNA from 1 species